rnacentral:rRNA from 1 species
UACGUAGGGCGCAAGCGUUGUCCGGAAUUAUUGGGCGUAAAGAGCUCGUAGGCGGUUUGUCGCGUCGUGCUGUGAAAACCUGAGGCUCAACCUCGGGCUUGCAGUGGGUACGGGCAGACUAGAGUGCGGUAGGGGUGACUGGAAUUCCUGGUGGAGUGGUGAAAUGCGUAGAGAGAUCCGGAAGAACACCAAAGGCGAAGGCGUGUCCUGGCUGGCACCUGACGCUCAGGGGCGAAAGCGAGGGGAGCGAACGGG